UAAUCAGCGAGCCUACCUGCAGUGAAGUAAUACAAUCAUUUUUCUCCAGUAAGCUGAUUUCUUAACUGUCUUGUAAAUGAGAAAUAUGUUUCAGUAAUCAGGGAGGAGGAUCGGGUGAAUCUACUUAUCUCAGGUAGAUUUCUAGAGAGUGCAGAUUUCUUUGCCACGUGUGUGUGUAACCGACUAUGCAUGGGCAUGACAAAAGACUGCACACAAGCAAAAUAACAGUAGAGCAGCCAUAUGUGAGGGCCAAUUAUUAGAGCAAAAAUGAAUCCAUCCAAAGUCUGACUGAGCUGAAAGUAAUGCACUAUUCUGUCUGGAAGCCUAAAUAAGUCAGCUCCACUGGUGAACAUUUGACUGUAAAACACACUUUUGUGUUCAUGUGGACAAGCUCCACUCUGUCAGUCUGUUGUAUUCCUCUCACUGUGCUGUCAGUCUGCUCCAGUGUAGACACACACCAAAAAGGGAGUGUUGCAGCAUCCUGUAUCACUAGUACAGCUAAAAUCAGUAAGCUGUGCUCUCAAAAUGAAAUGCAUCACUUUUAUGAUGCAUUUCAUUUGUAACUUUGUCUUAAGGUAUGUACAGUAAAACUACAUUUUCUUAAGCACAUGAGGGAAUGCUACAGUUUUCCUGGUCUUUCUCCUGCUAAUAUAGAUGGGACAGGGUGCUACGUAAAGUCACUACAAUCACUAUAGCCAUAAGUAUUUAAAAUAUCUGUGUCAUAAAUAGGUUGCAAACAUGUUUUCAAUAUAUGCUUGUAAAACACAAAAAAUGUCGGCAAAACAGCUUGAAGCAGUAAUUGGAAAUUUCAGUUUGGGAACAGACUGAAUAAAGGGGCUGCACUUCUGAAAUAUUUACAGCAAAUCUGAACUGGGACAGAAAAGUGACACAGCCACAUCUACUGGACACAAGUGGUUAUUGAAAUAAGCCUUUGUCACUACAGACAUUUUGACAUGUCAUAGCAGGAAAAGCACAGGUCUUAACAUUAAAAAACUGCUCGGUUCUAUUUAAGUGUCUCAAUAAGUCAUGACAGUGCAACAGUUUGUCUGUAUGCACAAUAACAGGACUCUGAAACUUAAGCACAAAAGGACUUUAUCUGACCUUCAUUUUAUUACUAACACCUGUGCUUUCUUAACGCGGCAUGUCCGAGUGUCUUCCAUGAAAACAGCCUAAGUUUCACUCUGCAAAUGUGCAUUUUUGGAGCUGGUUUGAAGCAAUGAUAUUUAAGGAUACAGUCCACUAAGAAAUCAAAUAGCUUAACUUGGCAGGAGAUUUCAGCAUUAUGGAAUGAAAUGAGUGCUCCAAUUUAGCACUGCACUCAUAUAGUGAAAAAUCAUUGUUUUUAUUUGAUAGAUUUUUCUUCCUUGUCAAAUCCUGGAGUCUACAUUAUCCACAAUGCAACUCUGCCACCAACAGUUAGAGCUAGAGAUUCUGGCGUGUCAUGCUAGUAAUGGCUAAUGUAGUGUGUAUACGUAUACAUAUAGUCACCAACAUUUGCAUUGCUAACAAACAGACUGAUGUGUUCAAUCAGCAGAGUUCCCUUUAACCAUGUUUCCUUCCUAAAAAAAUAGAAAAACUCCUGAAAGUUAACUUUGGUAUUCAUCUUUGUACGUGUAUAGGAAUGGUUCAGUUGAUAUUCUUGGUUGAGCCAUACAAUGAUGCAGACUUCACCUAAAGACAAAACAAAUCCAAGAUUUCAGAGAUGUUUUAACCCUAAAGUGACAUCAGCACGUCUCUGUCAGUAUGUUUUGUGACUGCAAACGUCUCCUGUUUCUAACAAUAAAACUCUGCAGGUAUGUCAUGAAAAUCUCCUUAGUUGGCAAUGCACUCACAAAGUUAAAGUUCACACAACACAGCAAGCAGGUUAAAACAGAGCACCAGGAAGGAAGGCCUUUGCCCCAAAAGAGCACUUACAAAACACAGUGACACAUAUACAAAGUAGCAGCUCUGUAGCAGUACAAUACAGUAAAGCAUUGCUUAAUAUUCAUUUCUUUGAAUAAUUUAACUAUUAGGGAGAGUUUUGUGUAGUUGUAUUGUUUCACAUGUCAUUUUGAAUCUGAUAAUUUUGCAUAUCAAUUGGUAGUUAGCUCUAAUUAAAACCACUUUCUGUUCACAUUUAGAGUUACAACUCUAUCAGCUCCUUCUUGAAGUAUUGUACACAGAGUCCAGUGUUGUUUCCCUCUAAAAUGUUUACUGUUAAAGGAUUAUCUUUGUUUCCCUGUAAUUGUCUGUGUAGGUGUUUUUUUUUAUUUGUCAUUGAAUGUCAAGCUUUUUGUCCUCAUCAUUAUAUUCAUGAGCCAUCACUGGGGCAAACAGCCCUAUAAUUAAUUAUUUAAAUAACAAUGUUAAGCAAAUUUUGCUUUUAAUUUGCUAAUCAAAAUCUUUGCCUGGAAAAAGAACUGGAGAAUGUAAGCUUUUGUUCUUCUUGCUUUUUUGUCAGAUUUUUUGUUUGUUUGUUCCCAGUAAAGGAUUCUAUGGUGAUUUAGCUCACGUGGUAAUGGGUUUUGUUUUAAUGAAUACUUCAUGAAAGCUUUAGCUUCUAUGAUCCAAGAUUCUGAUGCCAUUUCUAAUCCAAGGUUGGAUCUUAUGACAGGACACCCCCUCAUGAAUGGGAUGGACAAAAUAGAAAUACUUCUUCAUGUAAUUCUAAACAAUUCAACAGCAAGGCAAACUUGAGCCUCAACACCUCUCUAAAACAGUUAUAGCAUUAGUUUUAGAAAUGUGUUCCUAACAAGAUGCUAACUUGAGUGUAUAUACUGUAUAUAUAUACACAGUGGCCUCAGAAAGUAUUCAGUCAAAACAUGUUUAUAGAAGAUUUUCACAGUUUUAUUUCAAAUGCUUGUGUGUUCAGCCAGAGGAAGUAAAGGAGUCAGAUGAACUGGUGAUAAUCUAAUAUUUGUUUUCUGACUGUGACUCAGCUGCUCUUUACUAUUAUUGCCAAGUGUGAACGCCCCUCCUAGUCAGUGUUGGUUAAGUAGAUAUUUCUCACUACCUGUUAGUAGACAGAGGUUUCAGUUGUUUUUUUCUCCUCCCUCUUAUUUCUCUUCCUCCUCAUACCUGCCUGUCAUCAGUCGACGCUGGGAAUGGUAGGAAUAACAUCAACAUACUCUUCACUGCGUCUGUCACUGGAAUAUCGCUGGAUACAGUAUAGUUAAGAUCUCGCUGUGGAAGAUUAUCAGGAUGAAUCGCUCGUGUGUAAACUGUUGGAAGACUAUGAUGAUAAAUCUCAACUUUCUCUGCUGGCUGUGUGGUGCAUUUGUGGUGGCUUUCGGAGAAUUCCAGAUGAUGCACUCCAAGUUUGCCUCCCUCGUCACCACCUUCUGGCCCAUCUACCCCGCCAACACUCUGGUGGUCACUGGCACCAUUGUCACCUGUGUGUGUUAUGUGGGAGUGUUAGGAGGCUUGAAGGAGAACCGUUGCAUGCUUAUCACUUUUUUCGUCCUGCUGUUCAUUCUGAUGCUGGUGGAGCUGGCCAUGGCCUGUGUGUUUCUGGUCUAUAGUAGAGAGAUUGACACAUACUUUGAGAAGGACUUGAUGAGAAGCUUGGAGAUCUACAGACAAUCCAGUCCAGAAGGCAACAAGACCAUUAAAGAUGACUUUGAUGCUGUUCAGCACCUGUUUAGGUGCUGCGGAGUUCAUGGUGAAGCUGACUGGAAGGGCAACAUCCCAAUCUCCUGUUGUGUCAAAGAUCCCUGCAACACUCUCAUCCACAACAACUGGCAAGAGGGUUGUCUCCUUAAACUGAGGACCUGGUUUGCCAGAAACUAUCUCAGCACAGGCGCAGGCGUUGUUACAAUGUUUAUCAUACAGCCAGGAGAUUGGUCCUGCCCUCCUCCCACUGGUGUCAAGACCUCACCCGGUCUUCCUGGACCUGGGUCAGCUUUUCCAUCAGCUGGUGGUUUCUUCUUUUUUCUCAGCCAGGAGAUGGGUCUCGUCCUCGUACCACUGGCAUUGAGACUUUUCCUUGUUCUUUUUAGCCUGGACCAGUGCAUUUUUAAGUUCAGACAUUUCCUCAUCCCUCCUGGCGAGGUGUGUCAUGGUCUUUAUCAGCUGAUGAGAUACAAGUUUCUUCUUCAAAUUAACAUAAAAUUACAUUAUCACUACAAUAUAAGUACUUGUCCUUCACAGUUCAUGACAAUGGAAAAUGGUGAAAGGAGUGGGAGGCUAACAUUUCCCUAAUGUUACCCUUGGGAAAAUACAACACAGUGAAUGUGCUAUUGUGAAAAUGUGUUUGAUAAUAAUGAUGAUGAUUAUUUGAAAGCAUCUCCUGAUGCUGCUUGGCUGCUUGUGGCUGGAUUGAAGAUUUAUCACCCUGGCAUAGUGAGGAAAUCCCUGUUAACAACAUCCUCUUGUGGUGUGAUGUUAAGCCUGAUUGAUGUCUCUGCUGAUUUCUCCUGAGAUGUUUUCACAAUAACCCCACCCCCACCCCCCCACCCCCACCCAGCUUGUUGUACUCCUCACUUAAUCUUGCAAAACAGCUGUGACAGGGAGAGUUUUAUUCUGAAGAUGAAUAACACCUGUAAAGACAGAAUGACUGAAGAAGAAUUGUUUGACACCUUCAAAAAGGACCAUUAAAAGUUUCAUUAUACAGAACAGUGAGACAUUGUACUGCCAUGUUUACAGAUUGCUUUUAUAAAGGGUUUGUUUGACUUGACGUGGUGAAUGAAUGAAUACAGGCAAAACUGCAUCUGGAAGUGAACUUUGUGGAACAACAGCAGGAAAUUCUGAAGCAGUCUCAGGAUCUGAUGGAUGCUACUGAGGAGAGGGUCCACAAUGUCUACUUCAUGAUGAGCUACGCGCCCUGGAGACACUCCCCAUUUGAGUGAUGAAGAUGAGUGCUCUCUAUUCCACAGUGAGAUCAAAUGCUGCAGCAUUAGACUGAUUGAAUUCCAGCACAACAAGAAGUCUUCGAGAAGAGCCAGGAGACCACAAAGUGGGUAUAAUAAGGCUAAUGAAAUAAACAGGGAGAGAGUAGGAUUUUUUAGCUCGUGCUGACUGCUUGCCUGAUUGAUACUGAUCAGUUGGCUUUAUGACAUGUAGGAGAUUAGUCUGAGUAGUGAGUGAAUGCCCCAUCCGCGGUGUACUAAAUCUACAACCCACUUUAACUAAUGGACAAUGGACAAAUGAUGAGUGAUUUUAUCAAAAUCCCAAACACUGGAAUUCAUGUCCAGUGUUGGAAAGCAACAUUUAUUCCAGUUCUGUGCUAGCAUAUAAUUUUGAGUUACUUGUGUUUUACUUUUGUGUUUUCGUUUAGGCAACUUUAUUCUUCUAUUCCUCUAUAUUUUAGAGGCAAAUAUUGUACUUUGAUAUUUUUCUGCAGAAUGAGUGCUUUUACCUUGAUACUUUACAUAUAUUUUGCUAAAAUUACCUCUGUUAAUACUUUGUGGUAUGAACUUGCCUAAAACUGCAGAGCAUGAAUAAUACCAGUUGGUGGGAGCAUUGUUGCACCCAUUCUAAGAAAACGGCAGCACAUGUCAGCCUGGUGGAAGUGAGUCAGGUAUAGAGCAAUCCUGUGUCACUGAAAAUUGGCAUAUCAUAUGCUUAACACUAACAAGGUUGAAUAAUUGAUUAAGCAUUACCACAUUUUACAAUUGCUUUGUAAAAUGCCAUAGCCUGUAGUUUAAUGUCUCAGUGUUUCUGAAAUUAAAUAAAGUUAAUGUAAUUUUUUUGACUCAUUCAGCAGCAGGACACAGUCAUGACAUUCUUUCUACAAUGGGAAUCAAAUAUUGUUCAGGCAGUUUGUCCCAAGAGUGUCAUAGAUUCAUUCAUAUGUAGUUUUAUUUUAUUAAGAUAGAUUAUGUCUUGACCCUCAGGUCUUCAAGAUCAACAACAGUAAGGCACAUGCACUGGUAUAUAGGUCACAACCUCAUAACACAUCUGAUGGUGAUUAGACAAUUAAGUUACACCAUGUGGGUUUGGAAAAACAAUCAAAAGGGCUCCAGUGAAUCAAAACUCUUGAAACAAAGACUGAUCAAACAAAGGUUUAUGGUAAAGUGUAUUAAAAAAUGUUAGAGUUAUGUUAAUUCAGAUAGAUGAUUUACAGAAAAAG